rnacentral:rRNA from 1 species
UACGUAGGAGACGAGCGUUGUCCGGAAUUACUGGGCGUAAAGCGCGUGUAGGCGGAUGAGCAAGUCUGCUGUGAAAGCUCCUGGCUUAACCGGGAGUGGUCGGUGGAAACUGCUCGUCUGGAGGACGGUAGAGGCUGGUGGAAUUCCCGGUGUAGUGGUGGAAUGCGUAGAUAUCGGGAGGAACACCAGUGGCGAAGGCGGUUACCUGGAGCUUUGCUGACGCUGAUGCGCGAAAGCUAGGGGAGCAAACAGG